GAGUUUGAUCUUGGCUCAGAGCGAACGCUGGCGGCAGGCUUAACACAUGCAAGUCGAGCGGGCGUAGCAAUACGUCAGCGGCAGACGGGUGAGUAACGCGUGGGAACAUACCUUUUGGUUCGGAACAACACAGGGAAACUUGUGCUAAUACCGGAUAAGCCCUUACGGGGAAAGAUUUAUCGCCGAAAGAUUGGCCCGCGUCUGAUUAGCUAGUUGGUGAGGUAACGGCUCACCAAGGCGACGAUCAGUAGCUGGUCUGAGAGGAUGAUCAGCCACAUUGGGACUGAGACACGGCCCAAACUCCUACGGGAGGCAGCAGUGGGGAAUAUUGGACAAUGGGCGAAAGCCUGAUCCAGCCAUGCCGCGUGAGUGAUGAAGGCCCUAGGGUUGUAAAGCUCUUUUGUGCGGGAAGAUAAUGACGGUACCGCAAGAAUAAGCCCCGGCUAACUUCGUGCCAGCAGCCGCAGUAAC
rnacentral:rRNA from 1 species